UACGAAGGGGGCUAGCGUUGUUCGGAAUUAUUGGGCGUAAAGGGUGCGUAGGCGGUUUGGUAAGUCUUAUGUGAAAUCUAUGGGCUCAACUCAUAGUCUGCAUGAGAAACUGCCGGGCUUGAGUAUGGGAGAGGUGAGUGGAAUUCCUGGUGUAGCGGUGAAAUGCGUAGAUAUCAGGAGGAACACCUGUGGCGAAAGCGGCUCACUGGACCAUAACUGACGCUGAUGCACGAAAGCUAGGGGAGCAAACAGG
rnacentral:rRNA from 1 species